rnacentral:lncRNA from 1 species
UGAAGACCCUCAAUGGUUUUUAUGCGGAGGCCGAGAAGAUUGGGGGCAGCUCCUACCUGGAGGGCUGCUUGGCCUGCGCCACGGCCUACUUCAUCUUCCUCUGCAUGGAGACCCACUAUGAGAAGGUGCCGACUCUCUAUCUCCCCUUCCCCAGCUGCCUUGCCACAGACUCAUCUUUAGGGACCCCUGUUUCUGCAGGUUCUCAAGAAGAUUUCCCGUUACAUCCAGGAGCAGAAUGAGAAGGUCUUUGCUCCCCGAGGGCUCCUGCUCACGGAUCCCGUGGAACGCGGAAUGAGGGUUAUCGAGAUCUCCAUCUAUGAGGAUCGGUGCAGCAGUGGUAGCUCCAGCAGCGGCAGCAGCAGCGGCAGCGGCAGCAGCA